rnacentral:rRNA from 1 species
UACGGAGGGAGCUAGCGUUAUUCGGAAUUACUGGGCGUAAAGCGCACGUAGGCGGCUUUGUAAGUUAGAGGUGAAAGCCUGGAGCUCAACUCCAGAAUUGCCUUUAAGACUGCAUCGCUUGAAUCCAGGAGAGGUGAGUGGAAUUCCGAGUGUAGAGGUGAAAUUCGUAGAUAUUCGGAAGAACACCAGUGGCGAAGGCGGCUCACUGGACUGGUAUUGACGCUGAGGCGCGAAAGCUAGGGGAGCAAACAGG